CCUGGGAAUGGCGUUUUGAACUGGCAGUCUAGAGUGCGUCAGAGGGGGGUGGAAUUCCACGUGUAGCAGUGAAAUGCGUAGAGAUGUGGAGGAACACCGAUGGCGAAGGCAGCCCCCUGGGAUGACACUGACGCUCAUGUACGAAAGCGUGGGUAGCAAACAGGAUUAGAUACCCUGGUAGUCCACGCCCUAAACGAUGUCAACUGGUUGUUGGGGGAGUGAAAUCCCUUUAGUAACGAAGCUAACGCGUGAAGUUGACCGCCUGGGGAGUACGGUCGCAAGAUUAAAACUCAAAGGAAUUGACGGGGACCCGCACAAGCGGUGGAUGAUGUGGAUUAAUUCGAUGCAACGCGAAAAACCUUACCUACCCUUGACAUGUCCGGAAUCCUGCAGAGAUGCGGGAGUGCCCGAAAGGGAAUCGGAACACAGGUGCUGCAUGGCUGUCGUCAGCUCGUGUCGCGAGAUGUUGGGUUAAGUCCCGCAACGAGCGCAACCCUUAUCAUUAGUUGCUACGCAAGGGCACUCUAAUGAGACUGCCGGUGACAAACCGGAGGAAGGUGGGGAUGACGUCAAGUCCUCAUGGCCCUUAUGGGUAGGGCUUCACACGUCAUACAAUGGUCGGUACAGAGGGUUGCCAAGCCGCGAGGUGGAGCCAAUCCCAGAAAGCCGAUCGUAGUCCGGAUUGUUCUCUGCAACUCGAGAGCAUGAAGUCGGAAUCGCUAGUAAUCGCGGAUCAGCAUGUCGCGGUGAAUACGUUCCCGGGUCUUGUACACACAGCCCGUCCACCCCAUGGGAACUGGAGAGAG
rnacentral:rRNA from 1 species